CAAGGCUAACAAUACGGGCUGGAAGGCGCCGUGACGGGCCGGGCCUGAAGCCGAGGAAACUUCCCCUCCCCUCCCCUCCCAGCGCCCAGACGGCGGUGGCGGUGUGUUCGUCUUCUGAUCCCCCCUCACUCUCCUCCCCCGCUCCGCUCGGAAGCUCGGACCUCAUCUGCUGCUGCGCCCUUGCUCCCUGAUGACGGCCGGCUGCGCAAAUCUCCUGAAUGGGCCGGCGGGGCUCAUCGCCGAGCUCCUCCUCGCCGCCGACAUCGCCGACUACAUCCGCUUCCGCGCGGUGUGCCUCUGAUGGCGCCGCGGAUCCACGCGCGCACGAAGUCUGCAACCUAGCUAGUACCAUUUUUUGUCUUGCACGUGUAUCUGGAUCAGACCUAUGCAGACCAGCAGGCUAUGCUUCCGCUGCUUCCCUGUUGGUAAGAAAAUCCUUCAAUGACAAUGCUGUUCUCUAAACAUUCCACCUGGUUCUGGAAAUCCUUCGAUCAAUUCUGCAUCCUCUCUAUCUGCCCUUUGUUAUGUCAAAGAUUUUUUUUGUUUCUUUGUGCGUUGUUGAAAUUGCAAGAUUACGAUUUUCUGUUCAAACAAAAUUCUUCAUAAGUAGGAUCUAUUUAAGAUUGUAGGUUAGUGAUAUGAAUUGUUAAAAAUGUUGUAUGCAUGAAGAAGGUAUUUAUAUUGGUAACACAAGUAAUGAACGGGUAUAGCAAAUCAAACUUCCUUCUUAAAUUCUCAUCAACACUUCAUGAUGCACAGGACCGGAGAGAUUGACAUAAAAAUCAACUUCUUUUUACAAUCCCGCAAAGAGACAACAUUAAGUAAAAAGAGUAUGGACAGGACUAGGGAGUGCACGUGCACUAUUGGGGUGUCCAAGGUGCACACCCAAAUAUGAAAACUUCUGUCCUGUGUAUCUAAAAUGGAAACAAACACACCUGUCCCACUCGGCACGGCCCGCUGCCGAUUCCAGCCGCGCGACAGGACCAACCCGCACACACCGAUGCCAGCCCGUCCAAAAAUUGCAGGCAAGAAAGAAAAAAGCAAAUGAAAUGAAACGUAGAAAUUGAUCUCGUUCAUCCCCACCUCGCGUCUUCCUCCUUCCACCCAACUUUCCCCCUCACCGUUGGCCCUCCAUGCCUCCAUGGGACCUGCUCCAUGAGCUAGUUGAAGAAAAAAUUGCUUUAGAAACUCUGUAGGGAGAUAAAACCUACGUAGAUAUUAACCCUUACAAUUUUGCAUGUUCCCAAAUUCCUGAAAAGCAGCAUCAUUCAAAAUCUUAUCAAGAAAUUAACUGGGCAUGCUAGGCAAUAAAAAUGCA